rnacentral:rRNA from 1 species
UACGAAGGGUGCAAGCGUUACUCGGAAUUACUGGGCGUAAAGCGUGCGUAGGUGGUUCGUUAAGUCCGAUGUGAAAGCCCUGGGCUCAACCUGGGAAUGGCAUGGGAUACUGGCGGGCUAGAGUGCGGUAGAGGGCAGUGGAAUUCCCGGUGUAGCAGUGAAAUGCGUAGAGAUCGGGAGGAACAUCUGUGGCGAAGGCGACUGCCUGGACCAGCACUGACACUGAGGCACGAAAGCGUGGGGAGCAAACAGGAUUAGAAACCCCCGUAGUCC